rnacentral:rRNA from 1 species
UACGUAGGGCGCAAGCGUUAUCCGGAAUUAUUGGGCGUAAAGAGCUCGUAGGCGGUUUGUCGCGUCUGCCGUGAAAGUCCGGGGCUCAACUCCGGAUCUGCGGUGGGUACGGGGCAGACUAGAGUGAUGUAGGGGAGACUGGAAUUCCUGGUGUAGCGGUGAAAUGCGCAGAUAUCAGGAGGAACACCGAUGGCGAAGGCAGGUCUCUGGGCAUUAACUGACGCUGAGGUGCGAAAGCGUGGGGAGCGAACAGG